UCUGUUUCCUGUGACGUUGCAGUGAGCUGUCUUUGGGCCAAAUAUUUAAAGGUAUUUAGGUGCUUAAAGAUGCAGGUAAUGUGAAUUUUCCAAAAUACCUAGCUGCCUAAUACACAGUGAUUUCAGUGGGAGUUGCCAUCAAAGAGCUUCUAAAAAUCCCACUGUGCACCCAUCUGCUCCUUUAAGCACCUGAAUUCCUUUAAAAAACAGGUACUUCCCUCCAUCAGUGGAGACAAAUUUUAUUUUUCCUAAUCGAGACAGAGCUCCUCAAUACGUUUUCUCGGAUGCUGCCUGCCACCUUUAGCUUGUUUUCAUUGUUUUGAUUAUGAUGUCAAAUCCAGUCGAUGAUCAUGUUUAGGCAGUUCCAAGCAGAGCGUGGGCACACAGCAUCUAUCCUUUGUGACACCAACUUGGCACAGCAGCUCGUGUUAAUAAAUCAGGCCUAAGAGCUGUUGCACUGAGAAGGGAAGGAGUCCCCAUCUGCACAUGCCUCUUGCCUGGAAUGUCAGGGACUUUGGACCCAGGUGGCUGAAUUCCCCCACAAAACCUCUGCUGUGCAGGAGGAGCAUUUCAGGAUGCUGCUGCAAGCAGGCUGAAGAACUUCUGGUGCCUUUGAGGAAAAGUAGCUGAGGCAAGAAAAGUGUAGCUAAAUAGGCAAACAGUUAAAAUUGUAAAGAAGAAAAAGCAAGUACUUUCCUUGGAAGGAUGGAUGAAAAGUAAAUCUUAAGCAGAACUAUAAACUGUUGAGACAAG
rnacentral:lncRNA from 12 species